rnacentral:rRNA from 1 species
GGGUUUGAUCCUGGCUCAGAGCGAACGCUGGCGGCAGGCUUAACACAUGCAAGUCGAGCGGGCGUAGCAAUACGUCAGCGGCAGACGGGUGAGUAACGCGUGGGAACGUACCUUUUGGUUCGGAACAACACAGGGAAACUUGUGCUAAUACCGGAUAAGCCCUUACGGGGAAAGAUUUAUCGCCGAAAGAUCGGCCCGCGUCUGAUUAGCUAGUUGGUGAGGUAAUGGCUCACCAAGGCGACGAUCAGUAGCUGGUCUGAGAGGAUGAUCAGCCACAUUGGGACUGAGACACGGCCCAAACUCCUACGGGAGGCAGCGGUGGGGAAUAUUGGACAAUGGGCGCAAGCCUGAUCCAGCCAUGCCGCGUGAGUGAUGAAGGCCCUAGGGUUGUAAAGCUCUUUUGUGCGGGAAGAUAAUGACGGUACCGCAAGAAUAAGCCCCGGCUAACUUCGUGCCAGCAGCCGCGGUAAUACGAAGGGGGCUAGCGUUGCUCGGAAUCACUGGGCGUAAAGGGUGCGUANGCGGNUCUUUAAGUCAGGGGUGAAAUCCUGGAGCUCAACUCCNNAACUGCCUUUGAUACUGAANAUCUUGAGUUC